GACGAACGCUGGCGGCGUGCUUAACACAUGCAAGUCGAACGGAAAGGCCCUGCUUUUGUGGGGUGCUCGAGUGGCGAACGGGUGAGUAACACGUGAGUAACCUGCCCUUGACUUUGGGGUAACUUCAGGAAACUGGGGCUAAUAUCGGAUAGGAGCUCAUGCUGCAUGGUGGGGGUUGGAAAGUUUCGGCGGUUGGGGAUGGACUCGCGGCUUACCAGCUUGCUGGUGGGGUAGUGGCUUACCAAGCAUUUGACGGGUAGCCGGCCUGUGAGGGUGACCGGCCACAUUGGGACUGAGGUACGGCCCAGACUCCUACGGGAGGCAGCAGUGGGGAAUAUUGCACAAUGGGCGGAAGCCUGAUGCAGCAACGCCGCGUGCGGGAUGACGGCCUUCGGGUUGUAAACCGCUUUCGCCUGUGACGAAGCUUGAGUGACGGUAAUGGGUAAAGAAGCACCGGCUAACUACGUG
rnacentral:rRNA from 1 species